rnacentral:ncRNA from 1 species
AGAUAAAAAUUUAUGAUUUAAAAAAUUUAUUUUAAAUUUAAUUUACAUGUAAAUUUUUGUAUGAAUUUUAUUGUAUUUUAAAAAUAUAAUAAAUAAUUUAACAGUAAUUAAAAUUAAAAAUUUAAGAAAUUAAGAUUUAGAAAUAUAAAAAUUAAAUAACAAAUUUUGUGCCAGCAGUUGCGGUUAUACAAAAAUUUAAAUAAAUUAUAUUAAUAAAAAUAAAUAAUUAUAGUAAAAUAAAUUAAAUUUAGAAUUAUUAAGUGAAAUUUUAAUUUUAUAAAAAUUUAUAUAUUAAUUAUGAAUUUAAAAAUUUUAUUAAUAAACUAGGAUUAGAUACCCUAUUAUAAAAAAUUAAUUAAAAAUAUUAAAAUAGUAAAUAAUUAUUUAUUAAAACUUAAAUAAUUUGGCGGUAUUUUAGUUCAUUUAGAGGAAUCUGUCUAUUAAUUGAUAAUCCACGAAUAAUUAUAUUUAAUUUAAAAUUUUAUAUAUCGUUGUUAAAAAAAUAUUUUAUAAAAAGAAUAAUAUUUUAAAAUUUAAAAUUAAAACUAAUUCAGAUCAAGAUGUAGAUAAUAAUUAAAUUUAAGAUGGAUUACAAUAUAAUUAUAUAAAAAUGGAAAAUAAUUUUGAAAUAAUUAUUAGAAAGUGGAUUUAAAUGUAAUUUUAAAUAAUUUUUUAAAAUGAUUGAAAAUUAAAAUAUGUACAUAUUGCCCGUCACUUUCAUUUAAAAAUUGAAAUAAGUCGUAACAAAGUAGGGGUACUGGAAAGUGUUCCUAGAAAGA